ensembl:lncRNA
UGCAGAUAGGUGUUGGGAUGGUGGUUGUACUGACGGGUGGUGCUCAUAGGUGUUGGGAUGCGGUUGUACUGACGGGUGGUGGAGAUAGGUGUUGGGUGCUGGUUGUUCUGACGUGGUGCAGAUAGGUGUUGGGAUGCUGGUUGUACUGACGGGUGGUGCAGAUAGGUGUUGGGAUGCUGGUUGUGUACUGAGGGUGGUGCAGAUGGUGUUGGGAUGCUGGUUGUACUGAUGGGUGUUGGGGUGCUGGUUGUACUGAUGGGUGGUGCAGAUAGGUGUUGGGAUGCUGGUUGUACUGAUGGGUGUUGGGAUGCUGGUUGUACUGAUGGGUGGUGCAGAUAGGUGUUGGGAGGACGCUGCAGCCUGUGGGCCCAUCUGUUUUGCUAACCCUAAUUGCGUAUGGAGGUACUUAUCUGUGGAGACCCCCACUGGUACCCUGCCAGCCCAGCCAUCACUGCGCAGUGUGUCAAUCACACUGGUGGGUGGUGGGGAUAUCGUUGUGUGUGUGUGUGUGUGUGUGUUUGUCAGGGGAGCAGGUACAGGAGUACAGUGUAUCUUCUACACUCCGAUGACCUAUAGGGGGGUAGCAGGCAGGUUCACCAGGACAGCUGAGCAUCCCCGCAGAGAGCACCUGAGAGGACCGGGUCACAACCUAUAGAGGGUAGCAGGCAGGUUUUCUCCCUUGCCUCCAUCCCUCCAUCCAUCCCUCUCUGCCUUCAUCCCUCCCCCAUCCCUCACCUCCUCCAACAAUAGCUCUGAAAUGUCCCUGGCUCUGACUGGCCCAGAACAAUCCCAGCUUGGCCAGGCUUUAAGGAGGCUUGUUACAGGAGAAUAAAAACCAGAGGAGUAUGAGGAAGAGAGCAAGCAGGUCUCUCUCUUUCUCUGUCUGUCUGUCUGUCUGUCUCUCUUUCUCUCGCUCUCUCUCUCUCUCUUGCUCUCUCUCUCUUGCUCUCUCUCUCUCUUGCUCUCUCUCUCUCUCGCCCACCCAACCACACUCCUACCCCUCCACCACCCCUCCCUGCUGUGCCCAGCUUCACAGCUUUUAACACUUGAUUAAAUCCCCCUCUCCCUGCUAAAGCUUUUAAGCAGUGUGAGCAGAGAGCGAGAGAGAGAGUGCUGUAUGGUGGGGUUAAAGAGUAGAGGAGAUAAGUUGGAGGGGGAUGAAGCUGUUCUUGGCUCUUGUGUUUGGGGCGGCACACAGGGUUUCUUUUUCCCUGGGCUCUGUGGAGGGAUAUGGGAUCUUGGAUGAUGUUCUUAGGCUCCAUCAUCUGGAUUAUCCACCUUUUAUCACCAGGGCCUGUUUACAAUGGAUAUCCCUCCGCUGUUGACGGAGAUGCCUCUUUACGAUGACAGACGUGAUAAUAUCCAAACACUGCUCUGUAUAAACGGCUCUACAAUCCGCUUUAUUCCCACUCUGUGGAGAAAAUGCUAAAUGCCAUAUGUUUGUAUGAAAGCCCUGGAGCAUGGGUUUGGUAAUCCAAGGAUUCUCACAAAAUAUGGUAACAUCUUGUUUGGGGAAUUUGAAUAUUAAUAAGCGCUGUUGCCUUGACACUAUCAGCUGUCUGUCUGUCUGUCUGUCUGUCUGUCUGUCUGUCUGUCUGUCUGUCUGUCUGUCUGUCUGUCUGUCUGUCUGUCUGUCUGUCUGUCUGUCAACGGAUCACAGAACACAGACGAGGCGUCACCUGAGCAACACUGAGAAGCAUCUAGCACUCAUACAGAGACGGUGAAGUGACCUCAGCACUGC